CGUUUUUCUAUUUUUGCUGCCGCGACAAUCUCAUCAGAUGAAAAAGUUAAUAAACAGAAUGGCGACUCCGAUGUUGAGUAAGAUCACCAUGACCACCAGGAUAGGAGCUGAGCCCUGGAAGAGAGCGAGGGGAAUAGAGUGGCCGUGGAAUUCAGAGGUCUCCCACAGGCCCGUAAGUAUACCUUUCUCAACACAGCUCCCCUCCUGUCACCUGGCUCUGGUCGGCUGUGUCCAAUUGCAAGCUGCCUCUGACUUGGACCACGGUCCCCGAGUGCUUUUGCUCAUGAGUCCUCAGCCUCUGCAAGAGCCCCAAGUGCCAGGCUCCCCCUUCAGCAGCAUAGCCUGGGCAUUGAGACUGAGCUGCCACCUGCCGCGUCCUUGCCAGGGCCAGCAGUGGGGUCCAAAACAGCCCCAGAGUAGAAGCAAAGCCAGCUGUCUGUCGGUGGAUGAACGCACAGGUAGCGCAGCACGGUCCAGGCAACAGCAGACGCCACUCAGCCAGAGGAAGGGGGCAGGAGUGACGCGUGCUGCGAGAAGCCAGGCACCAGGACCCCCCAGGCCGAAAGCAGAGCAGGGGCUGCCAGGAGCAGAGGAGGGGACAGGAUGACUGCGCUCUGAGGUUUCAGGGGAUGUAACUGAUCUAGGUAGUUAGCAGAAUACACUAAAACCACUGACUUGUACAUACUCUGGACAGGUGAGCUGAAGAGUCCAUGAAUUCUCUCUCAGUAAAGCUACCCAAGAACAGCAGAUACCCACAGUGAAGUCAGCUCUCCAUGGCCAGACCUUCAGAGCAGUGCCUGACACUGGCUUCAGGGGAGGUAUGGGGACCAGGGGCUACUUAGCAGGGCCCCAGUGGGAGAAAUCCCUCCUGGGAAGUCAGCCUGUGGUUCCCACACCUAGCUUGGAUGCCACAUCCCGUGGGCAAGCAGCAGCCUCCUGCUCUACCAUUUGGCCAAGGGACGCUUUUGCCUCCUGGGUCAGCUUCAUCCUGUGCAUCGGCUGUGCCCCUGAUGACGCAACAUCGCAGCACCCAGGCUGGUCUCCCCGAGUAGGUGGCCUGAAACAGCCACACCCUUGCCCCUUCCCAGCCCCAGGGCGGACACCCUGCCUUGAGUAAGCUGCUGCCCCUCUUCCUGGUCCAGUCCUGCCCAUACCUGGGUGCCCACCCCACUCCUGGGUUCCCACCUCUCCUCCCCGUGUCUCCAGGAGCUGCCCACCACAUGCCCUGGGCUGUACUGCUCAUCGUGGCCCUGUCUGUGGCCUGGCCAGGCUUUGGCCACCCCAUGCAUUGGCAUGGUUUCCUCAGGAGGUCUGUGCCAGCACACACCACUCAGCAGAGUGGUGGUGAUGAUGGGUGUGAGUGUUUGUCUCAGCCCGGCCCCGCCUGGCGGUUUUGCAUUUGGACUUGAGGACAAGCUGCCAGUGAGCAUCUCAUCCCCAUUACGGUGAAGGCAACACGUCUGGACGUCACCCUCAGGCCUCACCCACCCUCCCUGCUGGGCUCCACACUGCACCUGGGAGGGACUCCCCCAGCUGCCGGCCCGCCCCUCUAUUCUACAUCGUGGCCAUCAUCACCCAGGCCCACAUGCCUCCUCACACUGGGGUCUGGACCCUGCAUGUCCUGGGGACACCGGCUUUAGAAACUUUUUUGAGACAGUCUUCUGUUGCCCAGGCUGGAGUGCAAUGGCACCAUCUCGGCUCGCUGCAACCUCC